CUACGGGAUGCACCAGUGGGGAAUAUUGCACAAUGGAGGAAACUCUGAUGCAGCAACGCCGCGUGGAGGAUGACGCAUUUCGGUGUGUAAACUCCUUUUAUAUGGGAAGAUAAUGACGGUACCAUAUGAAUAAGCACCGGCUAACUCCGUGCCAGCAGCCGCGGUAAUACGGAGGGUGCAAGCGUUACUCGGAAUCACUGGGCGUAAAGCGCGCGCAGGCGGGUUUGUAAGUUGGAUGUGAAAUCCUAUGGCUUAACCAUAGAACUGCAUCCAAAAAUACUUACCUAGAGUCUGGGAGGGGAAGAUGGAAUUAGUGGUGUAGGGGUAAAUUCCGUAGAGAUCACUAGGAAUACCAAAAGCGAAGGCGAUCUUCUGGAACAGUACUGACGCUGAGGCGCGAAAGCGUGGGGAGCAAACAGGAUUAGAUACCCCUGUAGUC
rnacentral:rRNA from 1 species